AGAGUUUGAUCCUGGCUCAGGAUGAACGCUAGCGGCAGGCUUAACACAUGCAAGUCGAGGGAGAAUCGGAGUAGCAAUACAAAGAGGAAACCGGCGGAAGGGUGCGUAACGCGUGAGCAACUUGCCCGUAUCAGGGAGAUAACCGGUGGAAACGCCGACUAAUAUCCCAUAACAACAGAGAGCGCAUGCUUUUUGUUUGAAAGAAUUUCGGAUACGGAUGGGCUCGCGUGACAUUAGCUAGUUGGAGUGGUAACGGCACACCAAGGCGACGAUGUCUAGGGGUUCUGAGAGGAAGGUCCCCCACACUGGAACUGAGACACGGUCCAGACUCCUACGGGAGGCAGCAGUGGGGAAUAUUGCACAAUGGGGGAAACCCUGAUGCAGCAACGCCGCGUGAAGGAUGAAGGCCCUUGGGUUGUAAACUUCUGUCCUUGGGGAAGAUAAUGACGGUACCCUUGGAGGAAGCCCCGGCUAACUACGUGCCAGCAGCCGCGGUAAUACGUAGGGGGCAAGCGUUAUCCGGAAUUAUUGGGCGUAAAGAGUACGUAGGCGGUUUCCUAAGCGCAGGGUCUAAGGCUAUGGCUUAACCAUAGUUCGCCCUGCGAACUGGGUGACUUGAGUGCAGGAGGGGAAAGCGGAAUUCCUAGUGUAGCGGUGAAAUGCGUAGAUAUUAGGAGGAACACCAGUGGCGAAGGCGGCUUUCUGGACUGUAACUGACGCUGAGGUACGAAGGCGUGGGGAUCAAACAGGAUUAGAUACCCUGGUAGUCCACGCAGUAAACGAUGACAACUUGUUGUCGGCGAUAGACAGUCGGUGACAAAGCGAAAGCGAUAAGUUGUCCACCUGGGGAGUACGAUCGCAAGGUUGAAACUCAAAGGAAUUGACGGGGGCCCGCACAAGCGGAGGAGCAUGUGGUUUAAUUCGAUGAUAUGCGAGGAACCUUACCCAGACUCAAAUGGGAGCCGACCGGUGCAGAGAUGCGCCCUUCCUUCGGGACGGCUUUCAAGGUGCUGCAUGGUUGUCGUCAGCUCGUGCCGUGAGGUGUCAGGUUAAGUCCUAUAACGAGCGCAACCCCUACGUCCAGUUGCCAGCGGGUGAAGCCGGGGACUCUGGAGGGACUGCCGGCGCAAGCCGAGAGGAAGGUGGGGAUGACGUCAAAUCAGCACGGCCCUUACGUCUGGGGCGACACACGUGCUACAAUGGCCGGUACAGAGGGCAGCUACGCCGCGAGGCGAUGUGAAUCUCGAAAGCCGGUCUCAGUUCGGAUCGGAGUCUGCAACCCGACUCCGUGAAGUUGGAUUCGCUAGUAAUCGCGCAUCAGCCAUGGCGCGGUGAAUACGUAACCGGGCCUUGCACACACCGCCCGUCA
rnacentral:rRNA from 1 species